rnacentral:rRNA from 1 species
UACGUAGGGGGCAAGCGUUGUCCGGAUUUAUUGGGCGUAAAGCGCGUGUAGGCGGCCAUACAGGUCCGUUGUGAAAACUCGAGGCUCAACCUCGAGACGUCGGCGGAAACCAUCUGGCUAGAGUCCGGAAGAGGAGAGUGGAAUUCCGUGGUGUAGCGGUGAAAUGCGCAGAUAUCAGGAAGAACACCCGUGGCGAAGGCGGCUCUCUGGGACGGUACUGACGCUGAGACGCGAAAGCGUGGGGAGCGAACAGG